rnacentral:rRNA from 1 species
AGUGGCGAACGGGUGAGUAAUACAUCGGAACAUACCCUUAAGUUGGGGAUAACUUAUCGAAAGAUGAGCUAAUACCGGAUAAUCUCUGAGGAGGAAAGCUGGGGACCAGUAAUGGCCUGGCGCUUAUUGAGUGGCCGAUGGUCGAUUAGCUAGUUGGUGGGGUAAAAGCUUACCAAGGCGAUGAUCGAUAGCUGUUCUGAGAGGAAGAUCAGCCACACUGGGACUGAGACACGGCCCAGACUCCUACGGGAGGCAGCAGUGGGGAAUUUUGGACAAUGGGGGAAACCCUGAUCCAGCAACGCCGCGUGAAUGAAGAAGGCCUUCGGGUUGUAAAGUUCUUUUAUUUGUGAGCAAAUCUUGUUUGUAAAUAGCAAACGAGUAUGAGAGUAGCAAAGGAAUAAGCACCGGCUAACUACGUGCCAGCAGCCGCGGUAAUACGUAGGGUGCGAGCGUUAAUCGGAAUUACUGGGCGUAAAGGGUGCGUAGGCGGAUAUAUAAGUUAGAUGUGAAAAGCCCGGGCUCAACCUUGGUCGUGCAUUUAAGACUGUAUGUCUAGAGUUUGUAAGAGGGGGGUAGAAUUCCAAGUGUAGCAGUGAAAUGCGUAGAGAUUUGGAGGAAUACCGAUGGCGAAGGCAGCCCCCUGGUAUAGAACUGACGCUGAGGCACGAAAGCGUGGGUAGCAAACAGGAUUAGAUACCCU